UACGUAGGGCGCAAGCGUUGUCCGGAAUUAUUGGGCGUAAAGAGCUCGUAGGCGGUUUGUCGCGUCUGCUGUGAAAACCUAAGGCUCAACCUUGGGCUUGCAGUGGGUACGGGCAGACUAGAGUGCGGUAGGGGUGACUGGAAUUCCUGGUGUAGCGGUGAAAUGCGCAGAUAUCAGGAGGAACACCGAUGGCGAAGGCAGCUCGCUGGGACGGUACUGACGCUGGAGGCGCGAAAGCGUGGGGAGC
rnacentral:rRNA from 1 species